rnacentral:tmRNA from 1 species
GGGGGCGUCACGGUUUCGACGGGUGCGAUGCUGUCUUUCGACAGCGGGCCGAGGUGCGCUCUGGUCGCCUCGCUAAUCCACCACCGAGCACCCUUUAGAUGCCACACUGCAUCGCUCCGCUUUCGGCCUCGCGGCCUGAGCUGGGCACCCUGCACCGGUAGCGCCGGCAAGGCCAGCAGGGUGUCCAUCAGUCCACUUGCCGGCAGGGUCGCAGCUGACCUCCUGCCUCAGCUGUGACCAGGGCACCACCUGGUGCUGACGGCAGGACGGCCGGGAAGCACUGCUCGUCGGGAGCAGACCCGGCAGCUUCUAUCCCGACUGCGCCCGGAGAACCGUCAGACAGUCGCAUUCGGACGCGGGUUCGACUCCCGCCGCCUCCACGA